GAGUGAACGCUGGCGGUAGGCCUAACACAUGCAAGUCGAACGGCAGCACAGUAAGAGCUUGCUCUUACGGGUGGCGAGUGGCGGACGGGUGAGGAAUACAUCGGAAUCUACUUUUUCGUGGGGGAUAAUGUAGGGAAACUUACGCUAAUACCGCAUACGACCUACGGGUGAAAGCAGGGGAUCUUCGGACCUUGCGCGAUUGAAUGAGCCGAUGUCGGAUUAGCUAGUUGGCGGGGUAAAGGCCCACCAAGGCGACGAUCCGUAGCUGGUCUGAGAGGAUGAUCAGCCACACUGGAACUGAGACACGGUCCAGACUCCUACGGGAGGCAGCAGUGGGGAAUAUUGGACAAUGGGCGCAAGCCUGAUCCAGCCAUACCGCGUGGGUGAAGAAGGCCUUCGGGUUGUAAAGCCCUUUUGUUGGGAAAGAAAAGCAGCAGGUUAAUACCCCGCUGUUCUGACGGUACCCAAAGAAUAAGCACCGGCUAACUUCGUG
rnacentral:rRNA from 1 species